UUGGAGGGCAAGUCUGGUGCCAGCAGCCGCGGUAAUUCCAGCUCCAAUAGCGUAUAUUAAAGUUGUUGCAGUUAAAAAGCUCGUAGUUGAAUUUCGGGAUCAAUUUAUCGGUCGUGCCUACGGUAUGAACUGGUACAAUUGGUUUCUCCCUUCUGACGAAGCAUGAUGUCAUUAAUUUGGUGUCGUGGGGAAUCAGGACUGUUACUUUGAAAAAAUUAGAGUGUUUAAAGCAAGCAUUAGCUUGAAUACAUUAGCAUGGAAUAAUGAAAUAGGACGUUUGAUCCUAUUUCGUUGGUUCCUAGGAUCGACGUAAUGAUUAAUAGGGAUAGUUGGGGGCAUUAGUAUUCAAUUGUCAGAGGUGAAAUUCUUGGAUUUAUUGAAGACUAACUACCGCGAAAGCAUUUGCCAAGGAUGUUUUCAUUAAUCAAGAACGAAAGUUAGGGGAUCGAAGACGAUCAGAUACCGUCGUAGUCUUAACCAUAAACUAUGCCGACUAGGGAUCGGAUGAUGUUAAUUUUUUAAUGACUCAUUCGGCGCCUUACGGGAAAC
rnacentral:rRNA from 1 species